UAAAGAAAUACAUGGAAGAUCAAGAGCCUCUCAAACAGAGAGGUGGGCUUUGAGAUGGGGAGUGAGAUGAUCCACCUCUGCGCGGAAAGUUCUCUCUGAGUGCAGUGUGGAGCGAGCAAGGGAGGAGGCCAUGAGAAGCCAGCAGCCCCCAGGAGUGGCCCCAGGUGCCCAGGGUGGGACAAGGAGGAGAUAGAACCAUCCCCACCACUGAAAAGAAUAGCACAAAGGACUAGACACCUGCUUUGGGGGGGCCCAUGCAGGGUGCAGUGGGAUCCUGUGAUGGCCCGAGAUGGGAUGAUGCUGGAGCUAUGUUCUUCUGGGACAGGAUUGCUGCUGAACACGAUCUUCCUGCUGGGGAACUGGGCGGCCCUGAGGACCUGG